CAGCCGCCGCGGGAAUACGAAGGGUGCAAGCGUUAAUCGGAAUUACUGGGCGUAAAGCGUGCGUAGGCGGUUUGUUAAGUCUGCUGUGAAAUCCCCGGGCUCAACCUGGGAAUGGCAGUGGAUACUGGCAAGCUAGAGUGUGUCAGAGGAUGGUGGAAUUCCCGGUGUAGCGGUGAAAUGCGUAGAGAUCGGGAGGAACAUCAGUGGCGAAGGCGGCCAUCUGGGACAACACUGACGCUGAGGCACGAAAGCGUGGGGAGCAAACAGGAUUAGAUACCCCAGUAGUCCCUGUCUCUUAUAC
rnacentral:rRNA from 1 species